AAUAAAUACGAAAAACGGAGAUAUACACAUAGUAAAAGAGUAAUCUCUAUCCGGGUCGGGUUUUUUUGAGACACUAGCUUCCUGCGAAUCUUAACUUCAAUCUCAAUCAGCGGUCUGUUUUCCGGUAAAACUCGGUUACAUGUUCCCCUGUUCUGCUAUCUAUAGAUACAACCCUGUAUAUGUAUAGUUUUCAAUUUUAUUUCUGCUCUGCUAUUUUUUGUUUUGUGUAUUAUUGAUCAUGUAUUAAUUUCCAAGAAUUAGAAGAACCCUAAAAAUUUGAUCUUUGGAAAGUACUUAAAUUUGGGUUCUCGAUGAAGUGAAGUUUGAUUUAGUGUGAUGGGUUUUAAUAUUUUGUAUUAUGUGCAAAACAUAUGGCCCUUUUCGACUGUUUUCCAGAAUAGUGAUUUGAGAGAGUCCGAUAGUAUAGUUAGUAAGUUAGAUAUACCUGAGCAGACUAAAAGGUUUGUUUUUGCGAUUCGUGAACCAGAGUCCAAUGCUGUUAUUUAUAUUUUAUGUGCUCAGAAUUUGUCUGAGAGAUCCAAUAUGGAUGUUGACUGUCUUAUUAGAGAGAUUAGGCCUCAAGCGGUUAUCGCACAGUUAGGGGACGAGACUUUGAAUGAUGUUUUUGAGGGGAAGGAUGAUAAAUGUGAGGAUGGUGGUGGGAAUGGAACUGUUGUGGAUUCUUCGGUUAAUGCACUGAAGAGGUUGUUUGUUCAGGGGAUUAGUAAGGAGAAUGAUGACAGUUUGCCGACUUCUUCGUUUGAAGUGUUGAAAAGGUGUUUUUUGCAUAAGAUUAAUAGAGAGAAGUAUGAGAGCAUUGCGGGAGGUCUGGUGUUGAAGGAGAUAUUUGGGGUUGGGUGGAACAAGCAUUUUGUGACUGCGAAAAGGGUGGCUGAAGAAGUUGGUUCAUCAUUUUUGUUGCUGGAAUCUCCGAUUGUGAAAUGUAAUGAUAAUGGGGACUCGUCUGGUGAGGUUGAGUCGGGGAACAGAUUUCAAGGUCUAGCUUUUCUGCCAAUUAGUUUAGUUCCACAAAAGAUGGGAUCUUAUGCUAUGUCGACUUCAAGGAGGUUUUCCUUAACAAACGAUGUGCAAGUGCAGAUGGUGAAAUCAUUAUCUUCGUAUGUAGUUCAUCCCAGUUCUGCAGCAGAAGUGAGUUCUGCAGAUAUACACCCAAAACCAGAUUAUGAACCUCCGGAAUUUGCUCACUCCAUUUACCCUUUGCUUGUUGAUUUGCAUAAAGUUUUUGUCGAUAUACCCUCAAUUGGAAGGGGUCUAGCUCAUGCGCAGAAGAUGCUGUAUGAUGUGAAUAGGGGGGAAGUUGUUGAUUCCCAGAUCCUCUCCGAAGUGUAUAUCUUUCGAAUAGCUGUUGAGGGAUUAAGAAUUGCUCUAAAUAAUGCAGGCCGACUUCCUGUUGACAAAAUCAAGAACCCUAGCAGAGCUCAAACUGCAUUUUCAGAUCUUCCUGUUGAGGAUAGAUCACAUGCUCUUCUGGCACAUGCUCUUAAAAGCCAGACUGAAAAAUUCAAAUCUGUUGUGGCAAUAAUUGAUUCUGGUGCAUUAUAUGGCUUGCGAAAGCAUUGGAACACUCCAGUUCCUGCAGAGGUAAAGGAUAUGGUUGAACAGUUGGCCGGUAAUUGUAAAUACGACGAGGAAAACAACAAUGGUGUUGGUAAACGGCGACUAUUAACAGAUAAACCAGUAGUGGCUGUUGGGGCAGGAGCAACUGCAGUUUUAGGAGCUUCAUCCCUCUCAAAAGUUGUUCAUGCGUCAGCCUACAUGAAGACUGUUCCAGCUUCUCUCAAACUCAUGGUUACCCAGUCACAGAAGGUAUUUGCGAUGGUACUCAGCAAGACUUUUGGUUCAUCGAAUUUGGUACAUGCAUUUACUGGUUCUGGAGCAAAAUCGUCUGCAUUGAAGGCAACAGUUUCUGCAGAGAAAAUCCGAGCUGUGACUCACAGUCUUAUAACCUCUGCUGAGAAGACAAGUUUCUCAGCCAUGAGAGCAGCCUUUUAUGAAAUAAUGAGGAAACGAAGAGUGCAGCCUAUUGGCCUUCUUCCGUGGCUUACUUUUGGAGGUAGCGUUGCUACCUGCACGGGCUUGAUCAUGUGUGGUGAUGGAAUUGAAUGUGCUGUGGAAUCUUUUCCUUCUGCUCCUUCCAUUGCCUGUUUGGGUCGUGGAAUCCAAAAUUUACGUCAGGCCGCACACACAGCAGCUGAAGCACAAAGUUCCAAGAUACAGAAAUCUAUAGAUUCCCUAUUGUACAGAUUUAGAAGAUGAAGUCUUUUAAAUUUGAGAAUGGCCAGUUCUAUUGAUAAAUACACCUGUUGAUACUCUUUUGAAAUUUAUAUGAAUGUGGUGCAGGCAGAGUUUCAGUUAAUUGUUAUCACUAUUUAAAUCUUUAAAGCAAGAUGGUGCACUCUAGGAAUUACAGUGCGCAUGCAUGAGAAGUUCUGGGGACUUGAAUAUCGUCAGACUUGAUGUAUGAUCCUCAUUCCUCACCCCUGUGUAUAUACAUAUAUAGAGUUGCUCAAGUGAUUAUUUACAGUAAUACAUCUUCACUCAGUUCUACAAAAUCAGAUCAC